rnacentral:lncRNA from 1 species
GGGCGCUAACCUAUUCCCUCUGAGCCCGUAGGGCCCCCAGGUCCCGGCCCGCAGCCCCCGGAGCUGGGCAGUGGUGGGCGCGCUCACCUCAGGCCCUCUGCCCCGCAGCUGCAGGCCGGCGCGCUCUCCGCCCCAGCUGUGCCUCCCUAGCAGCGCGCAGCCGUCCAGGUGUCACCCAGGGAACAACUGUAGCCGAGAAAAGGCCAGCUGGGACAAGGUCGGGGUCGCUCCGGGUGAAAUGAGCAAGUCUGUGUUGUUGGAGAGUGAAAAAGCUGGCCAAAUCAUCUGCACAAUGUCCCUUGCCCAGCAGUUCUGUGUGAAAACCAAAAUCAUGCUUGGAAUUUCCAGAUUUCUCCAGUGCUUGCGG